GUCGGGGUGGCGGAACUGGUAGACGCGCUGGAUUCAGGAUCCAGUGGGCUAACGCCCAUAGGGGUUCAAUUCCCCUCCUCGACACCA
rnacentral:tRNA from 2 species